GACAAACGCUGGCGGCGUGCCUAAAACAUGCAAGUCGGACGGGCAUCCUUCGGGGUGCCAGUGGCAGACAGCUGAGUAACACGUGGGUGACCUGCCUCGCAGUGGGGGAUAACCGCCCGAAAGGGUGGCUAAUACCGUGUACGCUCGUCGGGGUGGUGCCCGGCGAGGGAAGCCCUUCGGGGCGCUGGGAGAGGGGCCCGCGGCCGAUUAGCUAGUUGGGGGGGUAACGGCCCACCAAGGCGACGAUCGGUAGCUGGUCUGAGAGGAUGAUCAGCCAGACUGGGACUGGGAGACGGCCCAGACUCCUACGGGAGGCAGCAGUUAGGAAUUUUGGGCAAUGGCCGAAAGGCUGACCCAGCAACGCCGCGUGGGGGAGGAAGGCCCUCGGGUUGUAAACCCCUUUUCUGCGGGAAGAUGAUGACGGUACCGCAGGAAUAAGCCCCGGCUAACUACGUGCCAGCAGCCGCGGUAAUACGUAGGGGGCGAGCGUUGUCCGGAUUUAUUGGGCGUAAAGGGCGUGUAGGCGGCCGCGCAAGUCGUGUGUGAAAUCUCCCGGCUCAACUGGGAGGGGCCGCACGAGACUGCGGGGCUGGAGGCCGGUAGGGGGAAGCGGAAUUCCCGGUGUAGUGGUGGAAUGCGUAGAGAUCGGGAGGAACACCAGUGGCGAAGGCGGCUUCCUGGACCGGGCCUGACGCUGAGGCGCGAAAGCGUGGGGAGCGAUCCGGAUUAGAUACCCGGGUAGUCCACGCCGUAAACGUUGGAUGCUAGGUGUCGGGGGUAUCGACCCCCCCGGUGCCGUCGCGAACGCAUUAAGCAUCCCGCCUGGGGACUACGGCCGCAAGGCUAAAACUCAAAGGAAUUGACGGGGGCCCGCACAAGCAGCGGAGCGUGUGGUUUAAUUCGAUGCAACGCGAAGAACCUUACCUGGGCUUGACAUGCGCGUGGUAGGGAGCCGAAAGGCGACCGACCCGCGAGGGAGCGCGCACAGCUGCUGCAUGGCUGUCGUCAGCUCGUGCCGUGAGGUGUUGGGUUAAGUCCCGCAACGAGCGCAACCCUCGCUGCCAGUUACCGUAUCUGGCGGGACCGCCGGGUUGAACCCGGAGGAAGGUGGGGAUGACGUCAAGUCAGCACGGCGCUUACGUCCAGGGCUACACACACGCUACAAUGGCCGGUACAGAGGGCGUGCGAAGGGGCGACCCGGAGCGAAUCCCGACAAAGCCGGUCUCAGUGGGGAUUGCAGGCUGCAACUCGCCUGCAUGAACGCGGAGUUGCUAGUAACCGCAGGUCAGCACACUGCGGUGAAUACGUUCCCGGGCCUUGUACACACCGCCCGUCACGUCAUGAAAGUCGGAAACGCCUGAAGUCGGUGGGCCAACCGCGAGGGGGCAGCCGCCGAGGGCGGAGUCGGCGAUUGGGACG
rnacentral:rRNA from 1 species